GAUGAACGCUGGCGGCGUGCCUAAUACAUGCAAGUCGAGCGAAGCGGGGACGGGUGAGUAACACGUGGAUAACCUCCUAUAAGACUGGGAUAACUUCGGGAAACCGGAGCUAAACCGGAUAAUUAUAGAUGGAUCCGCGCUGCAUUAGCUAGUUGGUAAGGUAACGGCCUACCAAGGCAACGAUGCAUAGCCGACCUGAGAGGGGUAUCGGCCAAACUGGAACUGAGACACGGUCCAGACUCAUACGGGAGGCAGCAGUAGGGAAUCUUCCGCAAUGGGCGAAAGCCUGACGGAGCAACGCCGCGUGAGUGAUGAAGGUCUUCGGAUCGUAAAGCUCUGUUGUUAAGGAAGCGGUACUUAACCAGAAAGGGACGGCUAACUACGUGCCAGCAGCCGCGGUAGUAC
rnacentral:rRNA from 1 species